rnacentral:rRNA from 1 species
AGACGUUGUACUCCUGGCUCGAGGACGAACGCUGGCGGCGUGCUUAACACAUGCAAGUCGAACGCUGAAGCUCAGCUUUUGUUGGGUGGAUGAGUGGCGAACGGGUGAGUAACACGUGAGUAACCUGCCCUCUUCUUUGGGAUAACGCCCGGAAACGGGGUGCUAAUACUGGAUAUUCACUGAUCUUCGCAUGGGGGUUGGUGGAAAGGUUUGUUCUGGUGGGGGAUGGGCUCGCGGCCUAUCAGCUUGUUGGUGGGGUGAUGGCCUACCAAGGCUUUGACGGGUAGCCGGCCUGAGAGGGUGACCGGUCACAUUGGGACUGAGAUACGGCCCAGACUCCUACGGGAGGCAGCAGUGGGGAAUAUUGCACAAUGGGCGCAAGCCUGAUGCAGCGACGCCGCGUGAGGGAUGGAGGCCUUCGGGUUGUAAACCUCUUUCGCUCAUGGUCAAGCCGCGAUUUUGGUUGUGGUGAGGGUAGUGGGUAAAGAAGCGCCGGCUAACUACGUG